rnacentral:tRNA from 1 species
GGGGAUAUAGCCCAACGGCAGAGGCAAGAGGUUUAAACCCUCUCAAGUUUCAGUUCGAAUCUGAAUAUCCCUACCA